rnacentral:rRNA from 1 species
CUCCAACGAGCGCAACCCUGACCGAGCAACGCCGCGUGAGUGAAGAAGGUUUUCGGAUCGUAAAGCUCUGUUGUAAGUCAAGAACGAGUGUGAGAGUGGAAAGUUCACACUGUGACGGUAGCUUACCAGAAAGGGACGGCUAACUACGUGCCAGCAGCCGCGGUAAUACGUAGGUCCCGAGCGUUGUCCGGAUUUAUUGGGCGUAAAGCGAGCGCAGGCGGUUUGAUAAGUCUGAAGUUAAAGGCUGUGGCUCAACCAUAGUUCGCUUUGGAAACUGUCAAACUUGAGUGCAGAAGGGGAGAGUGGAAUUCCAUGUGUAGCGGUGAAAUGCGUAGAUAUAUGGAGGAACACCGGUGGCGAAAGCGGCUCUCUGGUCUGUAACUGACGCUGAGGCUCGAAA